UUUGGAGAAAUAUGCUGUACUUCCUACUUUGUCUUCAAUACGCAGCGAUGAUUUGUGGUUCAAACUGGCAACUCAGUUUUCAUGCAUAUUGUUACCAGAGGAAAACUUGGAGGAGUACUAUCAUGUCAAUCUGGAUCUCUUAUUCUCCCUGCCUUUUUUGUCUUCCUAGUGUGGUAUAGUACAGAGUUGGGGUUUAGUCAAGUUGUUUGGGUUUUGACGAAAUCAUUCUCUUGCAUGGUGAUAAAAGGACUUGUUUUGAAGCUAGCAUAAUUUCUUUGGUUCAUUUUGGAGUAUCUUCUGUCAAAAUCAGGGCAUGUAUUACAUAACAGCUAGCAUGCUUUCAUGUUGUGACUCAUUUGUACCAUUUGAGGGAUUCUAUGGUUUCUUUGGUAGGAGGAUAGGCUGGCACAAUGAAGAGUAGGGGAAAAAAGUAGGGUAAUAUGGUUUCCAUUGUUUUAGUAGGAAGGAAAAAUGAAUUGAAAGAAAGAGUAAGGAAAAAUGAAUUGCAAGAAAGAGUAAGGUUGCAAGGACUUCUUCUAAGCCAACGAAGUUGUAUCCCUUAAAAGAUGGAUGGGGACAAAGGAGGGAGGUGUGGUGAAAUCGAACCGCGUUAAAUUUGCGGCGUGGUCAGAGUCCGACACAAAGAUUGAAGUAGUUUAAACUGAACAGUAGUUUACAAAUCAUCAACUGGGCAAAAACAUAAAACGUCUUCCCCGAUUCAGAAGUUUAUGAACCAUCAUCAACUGGGCAGAAACAUAAAACGUCCUCCCACAAGCUCUCUUGAGUAUUGAAAGAAACAAUGCACAAAUCUCCAGUUAUGCUUCGUAUGGGUACAAAAAUGUACAUAUCGUGGAGUAUAGAGAAUGUACAUCACAAUCUGUAUAACUGGUGCAGAUUGAGAGAGCUUUAAUUUUGGCCCCUCCUGCCUGCACACUUCUCACAUCUUCUAGUCUAUCAAAUCACACUGUUACUUUCUACUUGCUUCUGAGUCUCAGAUUCAGAAUUGUUCAUCUAGCAU